rnacentral:lncRNA from 1 species
AUCCAAUCUGAGUCAAACUGAAUUUAAUUUAGUUAGACUUGUUCCAAAAUUUUUUAUUCAAUCAAAUUGAGUCAAUUAGUAAUCUAAUUACUAAUUAAUUCUCUAUAAAUAGUAGAGUCUUAGUCCCAAUAGAACUCUCUCCAAGAGUCCCAGUCCUAGUAGGACUCAUCAUCAGAGUCAUAAUUUAAUUAGACUCUUCAGCCAUC